rnacentral:rRNA from 1 species
UACGAAGGACCCGAGCGUUAUCCGGAUUUAUUGGGUUUAAAGGGUGCGUAGGCGGAAUAGUAAGUCAGUGGUGAAAGCCUGUUGCUUAACAACAGAACUGCCAUCGAUACUGCUAAUCUUGAGUACAUAUGAUGUGGGCGGAAUGUGCCAUGUAGCGGUGAAAUGCUUAGAUAUGGCACAGAACACCGAUUGCGAAGGCAGCUCACAAGACUGUUACUGACGCUGAGGCACGAAAGCGUGGGGAUCAAACAGG